AGGUCAACAUAGUGGAUCGCAUCACCUGUUGGGCUAGCAAAAUUAAAUGUUGACGCCGUUGUUGGGAGAGGAGGAUCAUACGGAGCCGUCGGUGCCAUUUGCAGAGAUCAAGCCGAUGUGUUCCUUGGUGCGUCAGCAGUGGUUUUCCCAAAUAUUUCUGAGCCGGCGACUCUCGAAUCACUGGCCAUCAGGGAGGCGUUAGCCUUAGCAGAUGAUUUGUAUGAGAGGAUCAUUCAAGUGGCGUCGGAUUGCAAAGUGGUAGUGGACGAUAUACGACAGAAGAACCCAGCGCUUUUCGGGGCGAUCAUACAUGAAAUCAUACACCGGAAAACUCUUUUUACUUUUUGUAAUAUUGUCCAUGAAUUUAGGAGCUCGAAUGUCGAGGCUCACAAACUCGCGAAGCACGUAUUAUCCUUAGGGGCUGGCCGCCAUGUUUGGUUAGGUCAGCUCAAUAGUCUUCAUUUCAUCCCUGUAAAUAUUGUGACGAUUGAAUAA
rnacentral:rRNA from 1 species